rnacentral:lncRNA from 1 species
CCCAGCACUUCCCAGCCUUUUACCUUUAAGGAUGCCUUAAACCCCCACCCCAAGCCCAUGAGGCUCCUCCUCCAUGCAACAGGCUGUGUGCCGAAACCAGCCCCGGGUGCUGCUGUUAGCAGGCGGACGGCUGAGAGGCGAGGAGGUGGGGCCUUCCUUACACAGGCCCCAAGGACGGCUCACGCUCCAGCCACAUGAGGACACGUGAGGAGGCACCGUCGAUGAGCCAGGAGGGGACUCGCCAGACACCAGACGUCAACCCUGCCAGGGCGGUGACCUUGGCUUCCAGCCUUCAGAACUGAGAAAUCAAUGUCUGCUGUUUCUAAGCCCCGCAAUAGGUGGUACUUUGAGCAGCCUUCAUGGACUAAGACACUGCGUAUUAUUAUCCCAUUGACGCCAUGUGGAAAUUAAGGCACAGGGAGGUUAAGGAACUUGCUCAGAGUUGGCCUGGGAGUCGCAACCCAAGAUCUGUCCACAUGGUCCCACUUCACCGCUCGAGGCUGUGUCCUCUACGGAGACUCACUUUCACUUUAGACUGUAGAUGCCAGCGUCUGACUGAGAAAAUGCGGUCACCAUAGCUACAUGGAGUGACUGGCAGAGUGUCCUAUUCUGCAACCAACUCACAAAAUCCUCAGGUCUUGUAUGGCGACUCUCACCAUAAGAGCUCACGCCCGCAGACGACACUCACACCCACACUCUCACCAUAAGAGGUGACAUCUGCAGACGUCACUCACACCCACACUCUCACCAUAAGAGCUGACACCUGCAGACGUCACUCACACCCACACUCUCACCAUAAGAGCUGACACCCGCAGACGUCACUCACACCCACACUCUCACCCUAAGAGGUGACACCCGCAGACGUCACUCACACCCACACUCUCACCAUAAGAGCUGACACCUGCAGACGUCACUCACACCCACACUCUCACCAUAAGAGCUGACACCCGCAGACGUCACUCACACCCACACUCUCACCAUAAGAGCUGACACCCGCAGACGUCACUCACACCCACACUCUCACCCUGAGGUGACAUCUGCAGACGUCACUCACACCCACACUCUCACCAUAAGAGCUGACACCUGCAGACGUCACUCACACCAACACUCUCACCAUAAGAGCUGACACCCGCAGACGUCACUCACACCCACACUCUCACCCUAAGAGGUGACAUCUGCAGACGUCACUCACACCCACACUCUCACCAUAAGAGCUGACACCCGCAGACGUCACUCACACCCACACUCUCACCCUAAGAGGUGACAUCUGCAGACGUCACUCACACCCACACUCUCACCAUAAGAGGUGACAUCUGCAGACGUCACUCACACCCACACUCUCACAAUAAGAGCUGAGGCACAAAGAGGUCACUCACAUCCAUACUCUCACCAUAAGAGCCGACACGUGCAGACGUCACUCACACCCACACUCUCACCAUAAGAGCUGACACCCGCAGACGUCACUCACACCCACACUCUCACCAUAAGAGCUGACACCCGCAGACGUCACUCACAUCCACAUUCUCACCAUAAGAGCUGAUGCCCGCAGACGUCAUUCACACCCAAACUCUCACCAUAAGAGCUGACACCUGCAGACGUCACUCACACCCACACUCUCACGAUAAGAGCUGUCACACGCAGACGACACUCACACCCACACUCUCACCAUAAGAGCUGACACCCGCAGACGUCACUCACAUCCACACUCUCACCAUAAGAGGUGACACCUGCAGACGUCACUCACACCCACACUCUCACCAUAAGAGCUGAUGCCCGCAGACGUCACUCACACCCACACUCUCACCAUAAGAGCUGACGCCCGCAGACGUCACUCACACCCACACUCUCACCAGAAGAGCUGUCACACGCAGACGUCACUCACACCCACACUCUCACCAUAAGAGCUGACGCCCGCAGACGUCACUCACACCCACACUCUCACCAUAAGAGCUGACACCCGCAGACGUCACUCACACCCACACUCUCACCAUAAGAGCUGAGGCCCACAGAGGUCACUCACACCCAUACUCUCACCAUAAGAGCUGACACCCGCAGAAGUCACUCACACCCACACUCUCACCAUAAGAGCUGAGGCCCACAGAGGUCACUCACACCCAUACUCUCACCAUAAGAGCUGACACCCGCAGACGUCACUCACACCCACACUCUCACCAUACGAGCUGUCACCCACAGACAUCACUCACACCCACACUGUCACCAUAAGAGCUGACACCCGCAGACGUCACUCACACCCACACUCUCACCAUAAGAGCUGAGGACCACAGAGGUCACUUACAGCCAUACUCUCACCAUAAGAGGUGACACCUGCAGACGUCACUCACGCCGACACUCUCACCAUAAGAGGUGACACUUGCAGACGUCACUAACACCCACAUUCUCACCAUAAGAGCUGACACCUGCAGACGUCACUCAAACUCACACUCUCACCAUAAGAGCUGUCACGCACAGACAUCACUCACACCCACACUGUCACCCUAAGAGGUGACACCCGCAGACGACACUAACAACCAGAUUCUCACCAUAAGAGCUGACACCCGCAGACGUCACUCACACCCACACUCUCACCAUAAGAGCUGACGCCCGCAGAUGUCACUCACACUCACACUCCCACGAUAAGAGCUGACAACUGAAGACGUCACUCACAUCCACACUCUCUCCAUAAGAGCUGACAACCGCAAACGUCACUGACACCCACACUCUAACGAUAAGAGGUGACAUCUGCAGACGACACUCACACCCACACUCUCACCAUAAGAGCUGAGGCCCACAGAGGUCACUCACACCCAUACUCCCACCAUAAGAGCCGACACCUGCAGAUGUCACUCACAUCCACACUCUCACCAUAAGAUGUGACACCUGCAGACAUCACUCACAUCCACACUCUGUCCAUAAGAGCUGACACCCGCAGACGUCACUGACACCCACACUCUCACGAUAAGAGGUGACAUCUGCAGACGUCACUCACACCCACACUCUCACCAUAAGAGCUGAGGCCCACAGAGGACACUCACACCCACACUCUCACCAUAAGAGGUGACACCUGCAGAUGUCACUCACACCCAUACUCUCAACAUAAGAGCUGACACCUGCAGACGUCACUCACACCCACACUCUCACCAUAAGAGGUGACAUCUACAGACGGCACUCACACCCACACUCUCACCAUAAGAGCUGAGGCACAAAGAGGUCACUCACAUCCAUACUCUCACCAUAAGAGGUGACACCUGCAGACGUCACUCACACCCACACUCUCACCAUAAGAAGUGACACCUGCAGAUGUCACUCACACCCACACUGUCACCAUAAGAGCUGAUGCCUGCAGACAUCACUCACACCCACACUCUAACCAUAAGAGUUGACACCUGCAGAUGUCACUUACACCCACACUCUCACCAUAAGAGCUGAGGCCCACAGAGGACACUCACACCCAUACUCUCACCAUAAGAGCUGAUGCCUGCAGACGUCACUCACGUACACACUUCUCACCAUAAGAGGUGACACAUGCAAACGUCACUCACACCCACACUCUCACCAUAAGAAGUGACACCUGCAAACGUCACUCACACCCACACUCUCACCAUAAGAAGUGACACCUGCAGACAUCACUCACACCCACAGUCUCACCAUAAGAGGUGACACCUGCAGACGUCACUCACACCCACACUCUCACCAUAAGAGCUGAAACCUGCAGACGUCACUCACACCCACACUCUCACCAUAAGAAGUGACACCUGCAAAUGUCACUCACACCCACGCUCUCACCAUAAGAAGUGACACCUGCAGACAUCACUCACACCCACAGUCUCACCAUAAGAGGUGACACCUGCAGACGUCACUCAAACCCACACUCUCACCAUAAGAGCUGUCGCCCGCAGACGUGACUCACACCCACACUCUCCCCAAAAGAGCUGUCGCCCGCAGGAGUCACUCACACCCACACUCUCACCAUAAGAGGUGACAUCUGCAGACGUCACUCACACCCACACUGUCACCAUAAGAGGUGACACCUGCAGACGUCACUCACACCCACACUCGCACCAUAAGAGGUGACACCUGCAGACGUCACUCACACCCACACUGUCACCAUAAGAGGUGACACCUGCAGACGUCUCUCACACCCACACUCUCUCCAUAAGAGGUGACACCUGGAGACGUCACUCACACCCACACUCUCACCAUAAGACCUGACACUCGCAGACGUCACUCACACCCACACUCUCACCAUAAGAGCUGAUGCCGGCACACGUCACACACACCCACACUCUCACUAUAAGAGGUGACACCUACAGACAUCACUCACACCCACAUUCUCACCAUAAGAGCUGACACCCACAGACAUCACUCACACCCACACUGUCACCAUAAGAGCUGAGGCCCACAGAGGUCACUCACACACAUACUCUCACCAUAAGAGCUGACACCCGCAGACAUCACUCACACACACACUCUCACCAUAAGAGCUGAGGCCCACAGAGGUCACUCACACCCACACUCUCACCAUAGAGCUGACACCCGCAGACGUCACUCACACCCACACUCUCACCAUAAGAGCUGACACCCGCAGACGUCACUCACACCCACACUCUCACCAUAAGAGCUGUCGCCCGCAGAGGUCACUCACACCCACAAUCUCACCAUAAGAGCCGACACCCGCAGACAUCACUCACACACACACGCGUCACUCACACUCACACUCUAGCCAUAAGAGCUGACGCCCGCAGACGUCACUCACACCCACACUCUCACCAUAAGAGGUGACACCUGCAGACGUCACUCACACCCACACUCUCACCAUAAGAGGUGACACAUGCAGACGUCACACACACCCACACUCUCACCAUAAUUGGUGACACCUGCAGACGGAACUCACACCCACACAUGUCACUCACACCCACACUCUCACCAUAAGAGCUGACACAUGCAGACGUCACUCACACCCACACUCUCACCAUAAGAGCUGACACCUGCAGACGUCACUCACACCCACACGUCACUCACACCCACACUCUCACCAUAAGAGCUGACGCCCGCAGAUGUCACUCACACCCACACUCUCACCAUAAGAGGUGAAACCUGCAGACGUCACUCACACCCACACUCUCACCAUAAGAGGUGACGCCCAUAGACGUCACUCACACCCACACACGUCACUCACACCCACACUCUCACCAUAAGAGGUGACACCUGCAGACGUCACUCACACCCACACUCUCACCAUAAGAGCUCUCGCCCACAGAGGUCACUCACACCCACACUCUCACCAUAAGAGCCGACGCCCGCAGACGUCACUCACACCCACACUCUCACCAUAAUUGGUGACACCUGCAGACGUCACUCACACCCACACUCUCACCAUAAGAGGUGACACCUGCAGACGUCACACCCACACUCUCACCAUAAGAGGUGACGCCCGCAGACAUCACUCACACCCACACUCUCACCAUAGAGCUGACGCCCGCAGACGUUACUCACACCCACACUCUCACCAUAAGAGGUGACACCUGCAGACGUCACUCACACCCACACUCUCACCAUAAUAGCUGUCGUCCGGAGGCGUCACUCACACCCACACUCUCACCAUAAGCGCUGUCGUCCGGAGGCGUCACUCACACCCACACUCUCACCAUAAGCGCUGACACCUGCUGACGUCACUCACACCCACACUGUCACCAUAAGAGCUGACACCCGCAGACGUCACUCACAUCCACACUCUCACCAUAAGAGGUGACACCUGCAGACGUCACUCACACCCACACUCUCACCAUAAGAGCUGAGGCCCACAGAGGACACUCACACCCACACUCUGACCAUAAGAGGUGACACAUGCAGAUGUCACUCACACCCACACUGUCACCAUAAGAGCUGAUGCCUGCAGACGUCACUCACACCCACACUCUCACCAUAAGAGGUGACACCUGCAGACGUCACUCACACCCACACUGUCACCAUAAGAGCUGAGGCCCACAGAGGACACUCACACCCAUACUCUCACCAUAAGAGCUGUCGUCCGGAGGCGUCACUCACACCCACACUCUCACCAUAAGCGCUGACACCUGCUGACGUCACUCACACCCACACUGUCACCAUAAGAGCUGACACCCGCAGACGUCACUCACAUCCACACUCUCACCAUAAGAGGUGACACCUGCAGACGUCACUCACACCCACACUCUCACCAUAAGAGCUGAGGCCCACAGAGGACACUCACACCCACACUCUGACCAUAAGAGGUGACACAUGCAGAUGUCACUCACACCCACACUGUCACCAUAAGAGCUGAUGCCUGCAGACGUCACUCACACCCACACUCUCACCAUAAGAGGUGACACCUGCAGACGUCACUCACACCCACACUCUCACCAUAAGAGCUGAGGCCCACAGAGGACACUCACACCCAUACUCUCACCAUAAAAGCUGAUGCCUGCAGACGUCACUCACGUACACAGUUCUCACCAUAAGAGGUGACACAUGCAAACGUCACUCACACCCACACUCUCACCAUAAGAGGUAACACCUUCAGACGUCAUUCACACCCACACUCUCACCAUAAUUGGUGACACGUGCAGACGUCACUCACACCCACACUCUCACCAUAAGAGGUGACAUCUGCAGACGUCACUCACACCCACACUCUCACCAUAAGAGGUGACACCCGCAGACAUCACUCACACCCACACUCUCACCAUAAGAGGUAACACAUGCAGACGUCACUCACACCCACACUCUCACCAUAAGAGCUGUCGCCCGCAGAGGUCACUCACACCCACACUCUCACCAUAGAGCUGACGCCCGCAGACGUCACUCACACCGACACUCUCACCAUAAGAGCUGACACCUGCAGACGUCACUCACACCCACACUCUCACCGUAAGAGGUGACACCAGCAGACGUCACUCA